rfam:Sorghum bicolor cultivar BTx623 chromosome 8, whole genome shotgun sequence.
AUUCCAUGAUGGGGACAUUCUAGGAUGUAGUCUUGGAAGCGCAGCCAUGCUUCUCGAACGGAUUCAUCAUGUUGUUGCUGAAAACUUGUCAUCUACUCACGGAGAGC